rnacentral:misc_RNA from 1 species
GCAAACUUGGUCAUUUAGAGGAAGUAAAAGUCGUAACAAGGUUUCCGUAGGUGAACCUGCGGAAGGAUCAUUACCGAGUGAGGGUCCUCGACGGCCCGACCUCCCAACCCUGUGUUUAACGAACCUUUGUUUGCUUCGGCGGACCCGUCUUCAUUGACCGUCGGAGAGGGCACCGCCCCUCCGGCCAGCGUCCGCCGGUAGCCUAACUACCUAAACUCGAUAUUAAUCAUGCCUAUUUGUCUAAGUGGAUGUCAUAAAUGAAAAAAGCAAAACUUUCAACAACGGAUCUCUUGGUUCUGGCAUCGAUGAAGAACGCAGC